rnacentral:rRNA from 1 species
UGGGGAAUAUUGCACAAUGGAGGAAACUCUGAUGCAGCGACGCCGCGUGAGCGAUGAAGGCUUUCGAGUCGUAAAGCUCUGUCCUAUGGGAAGAUAAUGACGGUACCAUAGGAGGAAGCCCCGGCUAACUACGUGCCAGCAGCCGCGGUAAUACGUAGGGGGCGAGCGUUGUCCGGAAUCACUGGGCGUAAAGGGUUCGCAGGCGGUCUACCAAGUCCGAUGUGAAAGGCAUGGGCUCAACCCAUGUAAGCAUUGGAAACUGGUAGACUUGAGAUAAGGAGAGGUAAGUGGAAUUCCUAGUGUAGCGGUGAAAUGCGUAGAUAUUAGGAAGAAUACCGGUGGCGAAGGCGACUUACUGGACUUAAACUGACGCUGAGGAACGAAAGCGUGGGGAGCAAACAGG